UGGGGCAAAGUAAUCCAAGUCUUAAAAGAAAAUAACCUCCAACCAAGACUGAUGUAUCCUGAACAAUUGUCCCUCUAAAUUAAUGGAGAAACAAGAUGCUUCCAAGAUAAAGAGGAACUGGGGGAAUUCGCAACCACCAAUCCAACUCUACAGAGAAUACUACAGGACAUUCUAAAGAAAGAGAAAAGCACCAGGAUUUCAGGAACAGUGGCAGAGAGACCCCAACAAAUGGAACAAAAAGCAAAAUAAAGAAGACAACAGGUGUGCCUGGAAAAUUUAAGGUCGUGCUGAGACUGCAGCUAUUGAUAACGGGAGUCGGCAAAUCCUGGAACCUUAACACAGCACAGUGAGCAGUGGAUCCAAGGGGAAAAGCUGUAUUGGCUCUUGGCGACUACUGGAAAUUGAGACCUGGGGUCCUGCAAAGUAGCCAAAGCCACCUCGCUGCACCAGAGAGACUGUGAGAAGCUCUGGAGCUCCAAAGCCAGACAACAGACAGUUUUUUUUCUCCAAUCCACGCUGUGCUGGGAAUGCAGUUAAGACAAGCAAUACAGUGUGCAGUGGACCCAAGAGGAAGAUCUGCAUUGAGUCCAGUGAGUACUAAGGGCUGGGUCCCACAGCUGCUGCUGCUGGCUGGAGGACAUCUUGGAAUUGGGUAGAACCCAGCACCACAGCAGCAUCAGUGGCACAGAGAAGACUGGUGGAAGACAUCUUGGUGUUGGGGAGGGUCCGCACUGUGGUGACAUCAGAUAGUCACCCUUGUUCCUGGUGGAGGACAUCUUGAAAUUGGGCAGAGCCCGGUGCCAUGAUGGCAUCAGUGACACAGAGAGGACUGGUGGAGAGCAUCUUGGAAUUGGGCAGACUCCAGCACCAAGGUGACAUCAGAUAGUCAUACCUGGCGCAGAGAGGUCUGAUAGAGGACAGCUGAGAUUUGGGCAGAGCCCUGUACCACGGUGACAUCAGUCAGCUGCUUCUGACACAGAGAGGACUGGCAGGGUCUACUGGGGCUGAACCAUGCCUCUGGUUGGGACCCAAUAAGCACAUACAAAAUAGUCAAGACUCUUGAGGAUUGACUGGCACAGAGGCUGGAGGCUAGUCUGCACUGUUCCUGCAUCCCUGCCUACCUCAGAUAACAGCAAGUUAGAGAGGGCAGCAAAAACUCCAGUCAGCAUGCUUCGGAAAGAUCCUAAGCAAUAUGGAGAGGGCCAGAGACUCCCACGACACAGCAGUCUGAAAGAAACCAGAAACAUGCCAAGAGAUAGAAAUUUUUAAAAAUCUCCAAUUGCUGAACCUGGGAAAAUAAGCCCAGGAAAAGUAAACACAGAAGAGAACCAGCACAGUAACCAUCCAAUACUAGACACAGCAUCAGCCAAAAUAAAGAAAUACCUUCAUGACCUCAUAGAUGAAUUUAAAACUGUACUUCUGAUCCAAGUGAGGCAAGAUAUAAAGAGAUUUAUUAAAGAAAUGAUAAGUCCCUCCCAAGAGAACACAGAUGGAAGAAUGGAGGAAAUCAGAAAAAAAAGAGAAAACCCUGAUGAAGAAUUUAAACAUAACCUAGAAUACAUGAAACAGAUACAAAGAGAUUACCAGGAAACUAAAAACUCCCUUGAAAACUGGUGAAAUGCCUUGACAGAAACUAAAGUUAGCCUUUUGAAACUUGAAGAGAGAUUUAUGAUAUAUGAUCAUAAAAGAAAAGACCUCUUAAAAAUAACAAGGAACUAGAAAAAAACAAUUCAAAGGAUAGAAGAUGACAAAAGGACACAUAACUUAAGAAUAAAGCACGUGAGCGAGAAAGCAGGAGUAACCAAAAAUGAAAUACAAAGAAUAUUCACAGAUAUAUUAAAGGAAAACUUCCCAAGCAUAGGAAAAAGAAAUGAUAUCCAGAUAAAUGAGGCAUACAGAACUCUAGCCACCUACAACCAAAA